rnacentral:rRNA from 1 species
UACAGAGGAGCCAAGCGUUGUCCGGAUUGACUGGGCGUAAAGCGCACGCAGGCGGUUGCGCGCGUGGGGUGUGAAAUCUGGCCGCUUAACGGCCAGGCGCCAUCCCAUACGGCGCGACUGGAGUGAUGCAGAGGUCGAUGGAAUUGCCGGUGUAGUGGUGAAAUGCGUAGAGAUCGGCAGGAACACCCAGGGGGAAACCAGUCGACUGGGCAUCUACUGACGCUGAGAUGCGAGAGCGUGGGGAGCGAACCGG